UAAGGAAUAUUGGUCAAUGGACGCAAGUCUGAACCAGCCGUGCCGCGUGAAGGAUGAAGGUCCUCUGGAUUGUAAACUUCUUUUAUCUGGGACGAAAACGGGAUUUUUAUCUCAAUUGACGGUACCAGAGGAAUAAGCACCGGCUAACUCCGUGCCAGCAGCCGCGGUAAUACGGAGGGUGCGAGCGUUAUCCGGAUUUACUGGGUUUACAGGGUGCGUAGGUGGGCUUAUAAGUCAGUGGUGAAAUCUCCGAGCUUAACUUGGAAACUGCCGUUGAUACUAUAGGUCUUGAAUUAUCUGGAGGUAAGCGGAAUAUGUCAUGUAGCGGUGAAAUGCUUAGAUAUGACAUAGAACACCAAUUGCGAAGGCAGCUUACUACAUAUAAAUUGACGCUGAGGCACGAAAGCGUGGGGAUCAAACA
rnacentral:rRNA from 1 species